rnacentral:rRNA from 1 species
AUUGAACGCUGGCGGCAGGCUUAACACAUGCAAGUCGAGCGGGGUGAUGGUGCUUGCACUAUCACCUAGCGGCGGACGGGUGAGUAAUGCUUAGGAAUCUGCCUAUUAGUGGGGGACAACAUCUCGAAAGGGAUGCUAAUACCGCAUACGUCCUACGGGAGAAAGCUGGGGAUGCCUUGUGAUCUUGCGCUAUUAGAUGAGCCUAGGUCGGAUUAGCUAGUUGGUGGGGUAAAGGCAUACCAAGGCGACGAUCUGUAGCGGGACUGAGAGGAUGAUCCGCCACACUGGGACUGAGACACGGCCCAGACUCCUACGGGAGGCAGCAGUGGGGAAUAUUGGACAAUGGGGGGAACCCUGAUCCAGCCAUGCCGCGUGUGUGAAGAAGGCCUUAUGGUUGUAAAGCACUUUAAGCGAGGAGGAGGCUCUUUUGGUUAAUACCCAAGAUGAGUGGACGUUACUCGCAGAAUAAGCACCGGCUAACUCUGUGCCAGCCGCCGCCGUAA